AUCUAGCCAAAAUAUUUCCCUUGGGAGCAACAACUUUCGGGUUAAAAUUUCAUCUCGAAGAGGGGUUUUAGUCGGUAGGCGCUACAGCGAAUCCGACACUACCCGUCCUUUGAAGAUUUCCCCUCCUCGA
rfam:Agrilus planipennis Contig73437, whole genome shotgun sequence.